GGUUGUAGCUCAGUGGUAGAGUGCUCACCUAGCACGUGUGAGGUAUUGGGUUCGAUCCUCAGCACCA
rnacentral:tRNA from 1 species